CUUUAAAUGUUACCCCAUGAAAGCAUGCUCUCCAAGCUUUUCUGACUUAGAAGACAGAUGUCUCCAAGCUGAACAUAGUUGGAGAGUUUCAAGGUCAAUGUGGCUUUGCUUUGAGAUCUGCCUUAGAUACUCUCUUUUUUACAGAGAAGCUGCUUUUUCUGAUUACAUCUCCAAGAAUUGCUCAGACAACUUGGCCACUGGCUAUACUUACUUUGGGACUCUGCAGUUGUGCUUAUUAGGCUUGAUCGAUCCAUGAAAAAUUUGAUUCUAAACUCGUUUCAAAACUAGAGGGGGCAGUUUUUUCGUUUUUGUUGCUAAUAACGAAUUUGGCCCCCAAAAUUUUUCGAAAUUAACGAAAAUUCGUUAUUUUCUAAAUUAAUUCGUUAAUGGCGUACGCGCAUGCGCGGUGGCCCAAAAACAGCCCGAAGGGGGGGGGACUUAGGGGGCUCUCCCGCCCUCAUUUUUUGAGUGAUCUUCUUCAAACUUGGUACAGUGGUAGAACACAUUUAACACUGAUAGCUCACCAAAAUGUGGAACGUUUCCCUUAUCCUCUGAUUUUUGGCAAAUUUUCAUAGCUUUUAUAAUAAACCUUUUUUUAAUAAUUGCAGUAAUCUGUUCCUGGUUUGAAAGUCUUAUUUCCUGUUAAAUUGGGUUGUCUUUACUGUGAAAGUCAUUGUUCUACUUCAGAAACUUUGUUUUUGUGGCUGAAACUUUGUUAAAUUGGUGUGUGUGUGAUAUAUAUUGUGUAUAUAUAAUAUAUAUAUAGUCCCUGCUUGUGUGUGUGUGUGUGUGUGUGUGUAGGUAAAGGUAAAGGUAUCCCUUGACGUUAAGUUCAGUCAUGUCUGACUCUGGGGGUUGGUGCUCAUCUCCAUUUCUAAGCCCAAGAGCCAGUGUUGUCCAUAGACACCUCCAAGGUCAUGUGGCCGGCAUGACUACAUGGAGUGCCAUUACCUUCCCAGAAACACCCAGAAAAUGGGAAUUCCAGACAGGAAACAAUCAGGGCCAGCUAAUACCUCCCAACAAAGGAUUCCCCCAGGUAGGAAGCAGCCAGGCUUUGAAGCUGCAAGGCUAUUCAAUGCUAAUCAAGGUGACCAAUUGCAACAUUCACACUUGCCUCCCACAGACAAGAGUUCUUUCUCCCACCCUGGACAUUAUUCCACAGAUAUAUAAACCCCACUUGCCUAGCUUCGCACAGACGUCAAAACCUCUAUGUCUGCCACAGAUGUGGGUGAAACGUCAGGAGAGAAUGCUUCUGGCACAUGGCCAUAGAGCCCGGAAUACAUACCACAACAGUAUGAUCCCGGCCAUGAAAGCUUUCGACAACACAACCACAGUAUCCAUUCAAGUUCAUGUAGCGUGGUAUGGACUGGAGACCUGUAUUGGGGGGAGGGAGGGUGCGAAUCUGGGCCCCUGGGAGCAGCCGAGGACGGGCCUGGCCCACACCCCCUCGCAUCCCGGGCCUCUUCCUCCUCACCGCCGGGCCCCUCUCGGUCUCUCCAGGCCUGAGCUGAGGCGAGGCGGCGGCGGCGGCCAUUUCCCCCCUCCGUCUUCCUCCUCCUCCUCGGCCUCCUUCCCCCUCGCCCCCUCCCAUUGGCUGAGCCUCCCAUUGGCUGAGGGGCAAAAGGAAAGGAGUUUGGGUGAUUUGCAAAAGCUUUUUUUUCUUAACGAAAAAAACGAAGAAAUAAGAAAAAACGGCCUCUCGCGAUUCGAAACCGCGAUAUCCAGACGUGUGGACAACCAAGGUUCUAUAUUGCUUCAAAACAAACAAAAAUAACGAAUUAAUAACGGGUAACGGGAAAAUCGAAUUAUUUGAGCAAGCCUA
ensembl:lncRNA